rnacentral:rRNA from 1 species
CCCUUAGAUGUUCUGGGCCGCACGCGUGCUACACUGAUGCAUUCAACGAGUCUAAAACCUGGUCUGAUAGGGCUGGGUAAUCUUUUGAAAGUGCAUCGUGAUUGGGAUAGAUGAUUGCAAUUCUUCAUCUUCAACGAGGAAUGCCUAGUAAACGCAAGUCAUCAGCUUGCAUUGAUUACGUCCCUGCCCUUUGUACGCACCGCCCGUCGCUCCUACCGAUUGAAUGAUCCGAUGAAUACCAUGGAUUGAGAGUACGAAUAGGUUCGCUUAUUUCUGCUGCUCGAGAAGUGGAGUAAAUCUUAUCAUUUAGAGGAAGGAGAAGUCGUAACA